GUAUCUAGAAUAAUUAGACGUUAAGUAUAUUUUUCACCUAUAUGAGUUUCUGGGGAGGCAGACAAUGCUCCAUUUGGCUACUGGUAAAGUGUCUACACUCCAGCAUAUAAUCUUCUCCCAAGCUUCUUACCCUCAGUAAGGUCAUUAGGUCACACACGCGGAGGCAUGGGUGUAGACGAGAGACCAGCGAGGAAGCGGAAGGGACAACUGACACUUUUAGGACUUAGUGUCAAGAUGCCAAUAUUUCAUUUUUCAUUGUGGUUUGCAGACAUUCAUGAAGAAAGUCAACUCCCAAAAGGAUCAUGGUGAAUCUCAAUUAUGGCAAACAGAGAAGGAGAAUGUUACCCACAAAACCAAUUUCUGAAUUAAAUGCUAGUAGAAGAGAGACAUUUUUGAAAGGAGAGCAGUGUGUGCUUUGCAGAGUGACUCACCAUGCUGGUUAUAAUCCUGGGCUCUAGGGUGCUGACCUCCUGGUAGAAGGUCAACUAUGACAGGGAUGCCUCUAAAUCAGCCUGGUCUCUGAGAACAGAGCUCAUUCAAGAGCCAACUCAAUGGCUGCUGCUCUGGGUCAUUUCCUAUCAUGUAAAACUGACUACUUGGAAGCGAGCUGCAGGACUCCAGCUUGGAUGAGGCCUAGAGCUGGUGGAGCAUAACCUUGUUGGGGAUCUAUUCAUUUCUUCCCAAGACUCCCCAUAUUUAGUACAUAUGUCUUUCUUGUUGUUGUUCUUGUGACAGUUUGUGUGUGUGUGUGUGUGUGUGUGUGUGUGUGUGAAUUUAUGUUUGCAAGUGUGGAGCCCAAGGACUGAUAGCAGGUAUGUUGCUGGAUCACUUUCUCCGUUAUUUACCAAAACAUUGUGUGUCUCGAAUAUGCUUGGCCCAUGAGAAGUAGCACUAUUAGGGGGUUGGAGGAAGUAUGUCACUAUGGAGGUAGGCUUUAAGGUCCUAUGCUCAAGCUCUGUUCAGUAAGAGAGCCUCCUCCUCCUGACUGUCUUCUGAUUAAGAUAUAGAAUUCUCAGCUCCUUCUCCAGCACCUUGUCUGCCUACACUGCACCAUGCUUCCUGCUAGGAUGAUAAUGGACUAAACCUCUGAAACUGUAAGCUAGCCCCAAUUAAAUGUUGUUUUUAUAAGAGUUGCCAUGGCCGUGGUGUCUCUGCCCAGCAGUAACUAAGGUCUCUUUCUGAAUCUGGAAUGUCUGCUGGUUUGGCUACUCUAGCUGGCCAACUUGCCCCAGGGAUUUCUGUAUUUGUGUCCGGAGUUGACUGCUGGGAUUUACGGCAGGCUAUCAUUUGCCCAGCUGCUAUAUAGGUGCUGAAAUAGGAACUUUGCUCCUUAUACAAGCCAAUCAUGCACUGAGUCAUGUCUUCAGCCUGACAUUUAAUAUUUUAAAGAUGGGAUCCAGCCCCAGCCCCCACCCCCCAGCCCCCUUUGCAUUCGUAGGGAGUGAAGUUGAUGUUUCUCCCUCAUGCCUGCUGGGCUAAAGGUUUCUAGGAGGCUCUUAGAUUAAGUUCCUCUGGAAAGUACCCAGGUAGGAUGGCAAGGAGGAAAGAGAAUCACCUUGGUCUUCCACACCUGCUCUCUGGUCUGCCCACUGCCAUUCCCUGAGGCUCCAUCACAGGACACCAGUGCUGCUAAGCUGCUGUCCUCUGUGGCUACAAAGGUUUACUUGAAAGACGUUCCUUUCUCUUCUUUCUGAUCAGUCACCGAGGUGUCUUUGUGAACGCUGAGGAGCUUUCUGCACUCUCCUCCUUCCAUUCCCACAACUGAUUUUAAAUAAUGUGGACCCUAGGGAUGUUCUAGGGUUGUUAUAAUCUAUGAUGUCUUCAGACACUGUGACCCGUAAGACAGUUACGUUCCCCUUCUGGGAACAUGGUGCCAGAGGAGAGAACUAGAUCCUCUGGAACUGAAGUUACAGAUGGUUGUAAGCCAUUAUGUGGGUGCAAGAGAGCAAGUGUACUUAACCACUGAGCCAGCUCUCCAGCCCCUAUUCACUAAUUCAAGUGGAGGAAGGUGUAUUAGGUAGGUUUAGUAAUCUGUGAUCUCCAAAGAAGGAACGCUGCUACAAGACAGCUGGCAACUUGCCCUGGUACUGCUCACUCCAUGCCAAGAGACCCAGGGUUAGGAUCAUAGAGUGGUUCAUGGAGAAGUGCAGGUGCUUACAAUGUCAAGUGCAGACAUUAGGAAUGGACUCUCGGGGAAGACGGAAGAUGAGCUAUACAUGUGACACGAUUCACCUUUAUUUUCCAACCGUGGACCUGACAGUUAUUUUACACUCCUGGGAACAGGUAGUAUGUUAAAAUAGAACCAACUCUUCUACUGUAGGGUAGACAGAGUCCUGGGGCUUGCUCUGAGGCCCUAAGGGUAAAAAGGUUGUUAGUAACUGCCUAAGACUGCUUAGGUGUGUCAAGCCCUGCUUCUGGCCUCUCUGUUAAUGUGCAGGAUUCCAGAUAAGUGAAAUCCAGACAAUCUGACACCUUCCAGCAGAUCUGGUUAAGUUCAUUACAUAUAGAACUAUGUUGCUAUAAAAUAACAUAACCACUAUUUUAAGUAUAAUUCUCCCUCUCUCCCUCCUAACCUUCCUCUUUCUCUCUUAAAACAGGGACUCAUGUUGCCCAGACUAGCUUUGAACUUCCCAUAUAUCUGAGGACCGCCUUGAAUUCCUGAUGGCCACGCCUCCACCUAAGUGAUAAAAUGACAAAGCCAUACUCCACUGCUGCUCCAUGAAGUUAAUGGCCUGACUGGAGAGGAAGGUGGAACUGCCCUGAGGAGUGGCAUCUCUAAGACAUGGGUGAACGCCAUUCCUGCUUAACACAGAGGACUCACUAGAUCCACAGCAGCUUCUCACAUCCAAGCUCUCCUGGUCAAACAGAUGCUAGCGGUCCACAAUCGUGUUGGAAGAAGAAAGCUAUGGAGGCUUUUAUGACGUGCUGUGUACCCAUGUAUGUAGUUAUGUAACUCCAAACCCUGGCCGUGGGAUUCUCCUGUCAGUGAUCAGUUCUCUUGUGACACAGGGCAUUACACUUCUGUUAC